UACGGAGGGUGCAAGCGUUAUCCGGAAUCAUUGGGUUUAAAGGGUCCGCAGGCGGACUAGUAAGUCAGUGGUGAAAUCUCUCAGCUUAACUGAGAAACUGCCAUUGAUACUGCUAGUCUUGAAUUCGGUCGAAGUGGGCGGAAUGUGUCAUGUAGCGGUGAAAUGCAUAGAUAUGACACAGAACACCGAUAGCGAAGGCAGCUCACUAGGCCUGAAUUGACGCUCAGGGACGAAAGCGUGGGGAGCAAACAGG
rnacentral:rRNA from 1 species